rnacentral:rRNA from 1 species
GGGUCAGUAGGUUGGUCGUGCCACCGGUACGUACUGGUCUCACUGAUUCCUCCUUCCUGAAGAACCGUAAUGCCAUUAAUUUGGUGUUGCGGGGAAACAGGACUGUUACUUUGAAAAAAUUAGAGUGUUUAAAGCAAGCUAACGCUUGAAUACGUUAGCAUAGAAUAAUGAAAUAGGACGAUCGAUCCUAUUUUGUUGGUUUCUAGGAUUGACGUA